rnacentral:rRNA from 1 species
CCUACGGGAGGCAGCAGUAAGGAAUAUUGGUCAAUGGACGCAAGUCUGAACCAGCCAUGCCGCGUGAAGGAUGACGGCCCUCUGGGUUGUAAACUUCUUUUAUCUGGGACGAAAAAAGGGCUUUCUAGCUCACUUGACGGUACCAGAGGAAUAAGCACCGGCUAACUCCGUGCCAGCAGCCGCGGUAAUACGGAGGGUGCAAGCGUUAUCCGGAUUCACUGGGUUUAAAGGGUGCGUAGGUGGGUCUGUAAGUCAGUGGUGAAAUCUCCGAGCUUAACUCGGAAACUGCCAUUGAUACUAUAGGUCUUGAAUUAUCUGGAGGUAAGCGGAAUAUGUCAUGUAGCGGUGAAAUGCUUAGAUAUGACAUAGAACACCAAUUGCGAAGGCAGCUUACUACGGAUUGAUUGACACUGAGGCACGAAAGCGUGGGGAUCAAACAGGAUUAGAUACCCUGGUAGUCCACGCCCUAAACGAUGGAUACUCGACAUCAGCGAUACACUGUUGGUGUCGUGAGACGAAGACGAGUUAAGUACGUCCGACCGUAACGGGUAAGGUACGUUACCGACGUAAGGUUAGUUAAACGUUAAAGGUUAAGUUAGGACGGCGUUGAGACGUUCGACCGACGGACGACGACGAGGGAGGAGG